UACAGAGGGUGCAAGCGUUAAUCGGAAUUACUGGGCGUAAAGCGUGCGUAGACGGUUAUGUAAGUCGGGUGUGAAAGCCCCGGGCUCGACCUGGGAAUUGCAUUCGAGACUGCAUAGCUAGGGUGCGGAAGAGGGAAGCGGAAUUUCCGGUGUAGCGGUGAAAUGCGUAGAUAUCGGAAGGAACACCAGUGGCGAAAGCGGCUUCCUGGUCCAGCACCGACGUUCAGGCACGAAAGCGUGGGGAGCAAACAGG
rnacentral:rRNA from 1 species